GAAGAUGGCGGGGCGAAGUCUGUGUCUCACGGUCAGUUCAACUCCAGGCUCCUGGGGAGCGUCUGGGUUCCGGCGACUAGGACGCCUAACUUCCUUUAACUUCGGGUCUGAAAGUCUGUGGCUCUUUUACAGAGAAGCAGCGUUCCAGGGACUCCGUUCCCGCCACCCGUUCAGCAACCCUCUACACCUGGACCCGACCUCCUCGCCUUGGAGGAAGAAUAUAAGUAAGAAAUUCGGCGGUUGAACUUUUCCUUCUUUCUUUCAUCUGAAUGAGGCUGCUUACAAGUACUUUUUUCUGGAGACUGGCUGGAUCUUCGGGACCACUCACUCUGCAGCAUUCCCUUCUCGUCAUCUCGUUCACCUGCCGUUUAUCCUUUCUUUGUCUUUGAUCUGAGUAGUUCGCCUGCGUAUUAGAAGAUAUUUGAAGUGGGCGAAAAUUUAGCCCAAGCGUUUAAAUGCAGAAUUGCAGGCAAAAACAGCUGACGUGGUUCAACAAGCUAAGGAAAUAAUAUGUUAAAUUGAAAUACUCUGAUGUCCAAACUGCCGACGAUGUUGCCAUUCCAGAGGAUUUCUCAGACUUUUCCCUUGCAAAAACAAUUAGCAAAAUUGAAGGGCAACUGGAGGAAGAAGGCUUACCUGAAUAUAUAGAUGAUAUUUUUUCUGGUGUUAGUAAUGACAUUGGAACAG
rnacentral:lncRNA from 1 species